CAAAAGGUAGUUCAACAAAGAACACCGGCUUUGGGAGCCGGCGGCGGAGGUUGGAGUCCUUCCUUUUUGA
rnacentral:tRNA from 1 species